rnacentral:rRNA from 1 species
AAGGCUAAAUACUCUCUAGUGACCGAUAGUGAACCAGUACCGUGAGGGAAAGGUGAAAAGCACCCCGGAAGGGGAGUGAAAUAGAACCUGAAACCGUGUGCUUACAAGUAGUCAGAGCCCGUUAAUGGGUGAUGGCGUGCCUUUUGUAGAAUGAACCGGCGAGUUACGAUUUGAUGCAAGGUUAAGCAGUAAAUGUGGAGCCGUAGCGAAAGCGAGUCUGAAUAGGGCGUUUAGUAUUUGGUCGUAGACCCGAAACCAGGUGAUCUACCCUUGGUCAGGUUGAAGUUCAGGUAACACUGAAUGGAGGACCGAACCGACUUACGUUGAAAAGUGAGCGGAUGAACUGAGGGUAGCGGAGAAAUUCCAAUCGAACCUGGAGAUAGCUGGUUCUCUCCGAAAUAGCUUUAGGGCUAGCCUCAAGUGAUGAUUAUUGGAGGUAGAGCACUGUUUGGACGAGGGGCCCCUCUCGGGUUACCGAAUUCAGACAAACUCCGAAUGCCAAUUAAUUUAACUUGGGAGUCAGAACAUGGGUGAUAAGGUCCGUGUUCGAAAGGGAAACAGCCCAGACCACCAGCUAAGGUCCCAAAAUAUAUGUUAAGUGGAAAAGGAUGUGGCGUUGCCCAGACAACUAGGAUGUUGGCUUAGAAGCAGCCAUCAUUUAAAGAGUGCGUAAUAGCUCACUAGUCGAGUGACACUGCGCCGAAAAUGUACCGGGGCUAAACAUAUUACCGAAGCUGUGGAUUGUCCUUUGGACAAUGGUAGGAGAGCGUUCUAAGGGCGUUGAAGCAUGAUCGUAAGGACAUGUGGAGCGCUUAGAAGUGAGAAUGCCGGUGUGAGUAGCGAAAGACGGGUGAGAAUCCCGUCCACCGAUUGACUAAGGUUUCCAGAGGAAGGCUCGUCCGCUCUGGGUUAGUCGGGUCCUAAGCUGAGGCCGACAGGCGUAGGCGAUGGAUAACAGGUUGAUAUUCCUGUACCACCUAUAAUCGUUUUAAUCGAUGGGGGGACGCAGUAGGAUAGGCGAAGCGUGCGAUUGGAUUGCACGUCUAAGCAGUAAGGCUGAG